UUCGCAGGCAGCUCUUCUUCCCUCUCUCUCUCUCUCUCUCUCUCCCUCCAAAUCCACCGUUUUUCUGUUAUACAGUUAGUUACCUCUACCUCAAAACUCUUCUAAACUUGGGACACCAGACCAUAGCCACCAUAUCCAUGAAGAAGCUCAACAACUGCAGCAACAUGGCCAACCCAUUUGAUAUCUUCACCAAUGAGAUCAUCCACACCAUCCUCGACCAUCUAAACGACGACCCAUUUGCCAAAAAGUCCUUCUCUCUUGUCUGCAAGUCCUUCUACUUCAUCGAGCGUCUUCACCGCAAAUCCCUCAAGCCCCUUCGCUCUGAGCUCCUAUGUAAAACCCUCAAUCGCUACCCUUCAAUUUCUCACCUCGACCUAUCUCUCUGUCCAAGUGUCGACGACCCAUCACUCACCUCACUCUCUGUUUCAUGGAAAUCGACGCUCCGUUCGAUCAAUCUCUCGCGCUCCAGAGACUUUACCAGCAUUGGGUUGCUGCGAUUGGCCACCAACUGCUCUUCUCUGGUCGAGAUUGACUUGUCCAACGGCACUGAGUUGACUGACUCGGCGGCCAAAGCGAUCGCAGAGGCUAAGAGCUUGGAGAGGCUGAUUUUGGCGAGGUGUAAAUUGAUUACGGAUAUUGGGAUUGGGUGUGUGGCUGUUGGGUGUAAGAAGCUGAGAUUGCUUUGCUUGAGGUGGUGCUUACGUGUCACUGAUUUGGGUGUUGGGUUGAUCGCUAUGAAAUGCAAGGAACUUCGGAGUUUGGAUCUCUCUUGUUUGCGGAUCACAGAAAAAUGCCUCCCACAUAUCCUGCAAUUACAACAUCUUGAAGAUUUAAUUCUUGAAGGAUGCCUUGGAAUUGAUGAUGAAGGCCUUGUGACCCUUAAGCAUAGUUGCAAGUCCCUCAAGAUGCUUAAUUUGUCAAAAUGUCAGAAUGUUAGCCAUGUGGGUUUGUCUUCUCUGACAAAUGGUGCUGAACACCUGAAGCAGCUUGUCUUAGCAUAUGGUCCUUUGGUCACCACUGACCUAGGAAAAUGCCUACUGAAUUAUUCGAGGUUGAAAUCGAUUAGCUUAGAUGGCUGUUUAGUUACAUGUUCUGGGACAAAAUCCAUUGGAAGUUGGUGUGCCUCACUGAGAGAGCUGAGUUUAAGUAAGUGCUUGGGAGUUACAGAUGAGUGUGUCUCCUUCCUCGUGCAAGCCCAUAGAGAGUUGCAGAAAUUAGACAUCACCUGCUGUCGCAAAAUAACUUCUGCCUCUAUAGAUUGCAUAACAAAAUCAUGCACCUUUCUCACUUCCCUCAGGAUGGAAUCGUGUAGCCUGGUUUCUGAAGAUGCUUUUCUGUUGAUUGGACAGCGUUGCCAAUUCUUGGAGGAAUUGGAUGUCACAGAUAACGAAAUCAACAAUGAAGGCUUAAAGUCUAUCUCAGGAUGUUCCAAACUUUGUAGUCUAAAACUGGGGAUUUGCUUGAAUAUUACUGAUGAUGGACUUACCCACAUUGGAAGUGGCUGUCCAAAGCUUGAGGAGCUUGAUUUGUACAGGUGCUUGGGAAUAACUGAUGUGGGCAUUGCAAAAAUUGCUUGCGGAUGUCCUACCAUGGAGAUGAUUAACAUUGCUUAUAAUGAUAAAAUUACAGAUUCUUCAUUAAUAUCAUUGUCACAGUGUUUGAGGUUAAAGAUACUUGAAAUUAGAGGAUGUCCUAGUGUUUCAACAGUGGGUCUUUCAGCUAUUGCUGGGGCAUGUAGGCAACUUGAAGUUCUGGACAUAAAAAAGUGCGUCAACAUCAAUGAUAAUGGAAUGCUUGCACUUGGUCAAUCUUGCCAAAACCUCAGACAGAUAAACUUGUCAUAUUGUUCAGUUACGGAUGUUGGGCUCUUAUCUCUUGCCAGUACCAACCGCCUGCAGAACAUGACUAUUUUGCACUUGACGGGAUUGACCCCAAACGGCCUUGCAGCUGCCCUAUUGGCAUGUGGAGGCCUAACAAAAGUCAAGCUUCACACAUCCUUGAAACCAUUGCUUCCAAAAUAUAUCUUUGGGUACAUGGAAGGCCGUGGUUGUGUGUUUCAUUGGAGAGACAAAGCAUUCCAGAAGGAAAUAGAUCCAAAUGGAUGGCAACUGCAUGCUGGAAUGUCUCCUGAAGCUGCGUAGAUUGGGAAGAAAAAGUGAAAACCACACAUGUAUAGUGCUUAUAACAAUGAGUCAAUGACCAUUAACGACAUAUCAAGACGCUUCCAAUUUGCUCAAUUCUCCCAAUACCCCAAAACAGGUUGGAGGGAAAAGUAGCAAUUGUAACAGGCGGUGCGAGAGGAAUUGGAGAGGCAACAGUGAGGCUCUUCGUAAAAAAUGGAGCCAAGGUAGCCAUUGCAGAUAUUGAGGAUACAAGUGGUACCAUUUUAGCGAACGAAUUGUACACUUCAGCGAUAUAUGUACAUUGCGAUGUAAGCUUAGAAGACGACAUCAAAAACUUGAUCAACAAACCAUCUCCCAUUAUGGCCGAUUAGACAUUCUCUUCAACAAUGCCGGAGUCCUUGGAAAUCAAUCGAAAAACAAGAGCAUCACCAACUUUGAUGCCCGCGAAUUUGAUCACAUUAUGCGUGUCAAUACUAGAGGAGCUGCCUUGGGGAUGAAGCAUGCAGCUAUUCAUGGUGCCUAGAAGAAGUGGGUGCAUCAUAUCCACAGCUAGUGUAGCCGGUGCCAUGGGAGGCCUUGGACCUCAUGCUUAUACAGCCUCAAAGCAUGCCAUUGUAGGUCUAACAAAGAACACGGCUUCUGAGCUUGGUCAAUAUGGGAUUCGAGUUCGUUGUAUUUCUCCUUUUGGGGUAGCUACUUCCAUGCUAAUCGAUGCUCGGAGCGGUCACUAGGAAGAUGGCGAAGGCAUGGAUUUUGGAUCGUCACCUUGUGAGGAAGAUGUGGAAAAGAUAGAAGAGCUUGUGAAAGGCCUGGCCAAUCUAAAAGGUGCUACUCUAAAAGCUAAAGAUAUAGCCGAGGCUGCUCUUUUUCUUGCAAGUGAUGAAUCAAAGUAUGUGAGUGGUCAUAACCUUGUUGUAGAUGGUGGUUAUUCUACCUCAAAGAAUUGCGUGGGUUUGUAAAGAUCGAUCAAUUGGAUAUAU